rnacentral:lncRNA from 1 species
AGGCUGCGCCCUGCUUAAUGCCUGAUGAUCUGAGGCAAAGUUGGACAUCCCAAAGAUGGCAUAGAUAAACAUGACCAGGAAGAGCAGGAGGCCGAUGUUAAACAACGCAGGAAGGGACAUCAUCAAAGCAAAGAGCAGCGUGCGGAUCCCCUUUGCUCCUUUGAUCAGACGUAGGAUUCGGCCAAUCCUGGCAAGACGGAUCACUCGGAACAAGCACUUUCUUAUGCAAGGAGCUAAACAGUGAUUAAAGGAGCAGGAUGAAAAGAUGGCACAGUCAGUGCUGGUACCGCCAGGACCUGACAGCUUCCGCUUCUUUACCAGG